ACUUCCUGGGAAGACAGCAGAAGCUCAUAUUGUAAUGGUAACAAAAAAAACCCCCAUGAUAGCCAGCAUCUAACUUGAUUCCAUGUCCAGACUGCCCUGUCCAGGCAAAGUAGUACUAAGAAUCACUUAACUAAGCAGUGAUGUUUGAUUCUAUGGAUGCAAGUAUCAACUGAUUUGCACUUCACAUAUGUUGGAAUAUAAUUUACACCCGUCAAGCAUUCUUCCAUGUAAGUUCAAUAAUACUGGAUUUUGAAAUAAUUAAAAGUAGAUUUGGACAUAUAAUGCUAAUGUUUCAUAGAUAAGAUCUUAUAUUUCCUACUUAUUUUGUCAUUCCUUACAUCAACAAAAAUGUUACUGACUUACCCUUUUGUCUUGCUGCAUUGCCUUCAGGUUUCUUGGUCUCCUUUAAUAUCUGCUCAAACUCAUUUGUAAUCUGAAAUGUGUAUGAAGAGAUGCAAGUACUGUGUCAUUUUAAACUUCUUCAAAUUAUUGCAUAUACUAUUUGUUAAAAAUAAGUAUUUGAUAAAAAUAGUGCACUAAACGAGUGCACUGUUCCAGCUAACAAUAUCUAAUUUUAACAGAUCAGGUCAACAUCCAACUUUAAUUUUCAAAAGAGAUGCUUUUAAAAACUCAGGUUUUCUGACAAGUCUACAACAGCGUGUAUUUUAGAGUAGGACCUACACAACACUACAUUUUCUAGUUAUACACUAACAAAACUACAAAGGAAAAGGAUUUAAUAUCUAAAAUGUAGAUAGUAUUGCUGAAAUCUAGAGACAAAGAAUACACCAUACCCCAGAAGGCAAGCAAUUUUUCACAAGUUUGGAUAGGCAGCCUCUUGCAAGAAUAGUACUGGCAGAUGGACGAUUCUGGGGAUUUCUCUUAAACAUCUGUUUUAUUAAGUAAUGAAGCUCAUAGGAAUAGUGAGAUGGAAGUGGAUCAUAGGACCCUUUGCAUAUCUUAAGGAUGAGAUGUUUCCAGCUGUUAGCUUGAAACUGCAUUAAAAAGAAAUUAAUAUUAGAGCACAGAGUUUAAGCAUAAGGUAAAAUGUAGCUGAUAUAAUUUAAGAUAACUUCUUCAACUGAAAAUCAGAUAGAAAUUACACCUAUAAAUGUAUGAUUGUUUGAAUUUUAUUUAUAUAGAAAUCAAAUUCAUCAAUUCAUAUACUUGCGAUCAGACUUGAACUGCAAGAGUGAAACAGUUGGAAAUAUGGAGACUUUGACUAAAAAAAAAUCAUCAAAAAUGCCCAUAAAGCACAAACAUCCUGUUGCAAAUCUAAUGUCUGAGAACUUCUAGCUCUCAUGCAGGAAGUUUCCUUGGAUUACACCCCACUGGCUUGGCUGCAGGCUGCCAAGCACCCAUGGAGUGUCAUCUUUUUGUAUCACCUCUGAUAGAUUAUGCAAGAACAUACAUGACCAUCACAUCAAACCAGACAGAACUUUUCAACACUGCUAAUAAAGGAAGAAUACUCCCCUCCUUGGAACUCCAGCUCUGAGCUCUGCAUCAAUAGCCCUGACACUGCCAAAGACUUGCCACAGACCUACUUAGGCUAACACAUCCCUAAGCUCAGGCUUCCUUAUCACUCAGUCACAUCAACGUAGCUUCCACACUCUUGCACAGCUAGCACUUGCAGCUGUGGAGAACCUUUUGUUGAUACACAGGAUGUGAACAAUGCUCUCAGGCACAUGUGUCGUUCUUGGGCCUGUCCUCUGCAGGGUCAGGAGCUGGGACUUUGAUGAUCCUUGUGGGUCCUUUCCAACUCAGAAUAUUCUGUGGUUCUCUAAUUUCAAGAUACAGUAUUUGCUCAAUGAAAGGAAACUGCUGCUUAUAAAAAACUUAGACAAAAUGACCCUCAAUUAGCCUAUCAUUUUGCUGCAAAACGAACAUAUCCUGAUAAGGGCUCUCACUUUACCUACAUGUCUGGAUAGAGAAGCCAGAGGAUGUUAACUUAAGAAACACAGCAACAACACUGUCAAAGAGAGUGUCCCAGAAAAGACACAGAAAGACUGAAUCACUAAUCAAGGUCCCCACUGUUCCAACAGGAGAAUGGUGCUUGUACAGUGAUUUGUUUGAUAUGAAGAAUAAGCAAAGGUGUAUCACUGAUGCAAGCUACAAAAAUGCCUACUGUUUACCACAUUUUGCUGUACUUGCACACAAUAUAUUUUUAUUAGCAAAGAUUUUGAGUGUCUUUGUCACUAUGUCCUGGGAUUAUCUUGAUCAUGUAAAAUGCAAUGCCCUUGUAAGUGCAGGUAUCUGAAACCAGCCUGGCAGCUGCUGGAUUCAAUAUGUCCAGAUCACCUCACUGACACUGAGGAAAAUUAACCAAAUAAAAAUCCUAAUUGUUUUUUAACAAAUUUGAAAAGAGAGUCUUCUACAGAAGGGUCCAGUAGGUCCCAAGAACUGCUGAAACAGAAGCACAUAGUGGAGGAGGCAUAGGAAGGGUGGAGCAAUACUUCCCUCUUUUGGAAGCAGCAGCAAGCACCUCAGUCAACUCUAUUGUACAGCUAAAUGCUAAUUAAGCUUCAAGGAAUUCCAAAACUUUUCUCAUGGCAAUAAAGCUGUACUUACCGGGUGUUUUAGAGUGCACAGCUCAUACAGAAUACACCCCAGAGACCAUAUAUCACUGUAGAUAUAGAGAGAGAUGAAAAAUUUUGAGCCAGAAAUUACAAUUUAGUAUCUUGCUUAAAAGCAUGUGAUUUAACCUGUGUACAUAACUGAGCUAAAUAAGCUAAAAAUAAAUGUAAGUAACCAUAAAAGACAAUAUAAUUAUGUGUUUAACCUCUCCUGUGGAUAUGUUCUUCCUUAUUUUAUCCUACCCUGAUGUAAAAGAAAAUGACUGUCAUACAGUUGUAGUUGGCUUUUUAUUCCUAAGAUGUCUUUCUAGUAAUUUGCUCCAACAAUAUUUAUCCUUCUGCAUUUGAAAGCCUUUGUAUUCUAUGGCCCUUAACAUCAAAUGGCAGCCACAUAAUCCUAAUUCUGAGAGCUGGAAUUUUGGCCUUGCCAAAAAGAAUUCUCCCACUAAGAAAAAAACUCCAUCAUUUUCCACCAAAAGUGAGUACUGCCAUUUGUACAAAAAGCAACGGAAACCUUUCUUGUAAGAAGAGCAGGAAACAACUUAAACUGUAGAAUGUUUCUUACCUCCCCUGGAAAAUCAAUCACAGUUCUUGCAUAAGGACCAGAAUCACUGGGCUCUGAAAAUCUAAGUAAUCCAUUCUGUGCCAUUAUCCUUACAUUAUCAAGACUGGCAUGAAGAGGUUAAAAAUCAUCCAUAAACUAUCAUCCAAACAACCAUCCACCAAAAAAUAAGAACAGUCAAAAGAUGCCAACACAUACUUAUGUUUGUGGAUAUAUACACACUUAAAACAUACACCAAAGUAUGUAGGUGUUUACUCUCCCAAACAAACUGCACAUUGUUUUUCAGACUUCCAGGACUAAAGAUACUGUGUUCUCAGCUACCUAAGAAAUGAAGAAUUCAUGCACUAUAAUCUUAAAAAAAAAUUGUAAUUAUCUCUUUGUAAAUUUUCUUCAGCUCAGUAUCUUCUCUGAAAAUGGAUAAGCCACAUAGCCAGAUUGAGAUAGCAAUAAAAAAACCCCAUCCAUCAGUAAAACAUUAUUUGUGACCCCUGAAAACACAAGUACCUUUUGUUGUUGUAUGGCAGACUUUCCCAUAUUUCUGGAGGCACAUAAUAAGGAGUUCCCACAUAGGUGCAAGCGUAUGACAUUGGACUGUGAAACAACAAAGAAAAAAUGCCAGGUGAAAAGUAAUGAUUUAUGAACUCUGUACUGUUUGUCAAUGGUAAAAUAAAACUUGACACCACUGAGAUCAGCUGGGAUGUCCACAUACUGUGCAAGAAGGCGUGCAGAUCCAAAAUCUCCCAACUUGAUUUUUCCACUUUGAGUGAGGAAGACAUUCUGCAUUUCAAGAGCAAAGAUUAACAUACUUAAAUAUUCUUCUAUGAAUCAUCUCUGCAGUUUGGAUAUACAGAAAACACAGCAUUAACCACUUCUGAUAUUUUGUCUUUGUAUUUCCUUUUGCUUGCUUCUCCUAAUACUUCUACCAAAACAGAAAGGGUUUGUGGGCCUAAGGCACCAGCAACAGUAGCAGAGGAAGAAUCACAACUUAGAAUUGCCUUAAUCUCUACGCUAUACUCAAACCAAGGGUCCACUUUCUUCUGAAUUUCCCUCUUUCUGACAGGGAAGAGUGAAAAAUAAAAAGUUGUGAGGCAAGAUAUUUGCAAACUGUAUAAUCCAUACACUUUUUUAUAGUUCUGUAGUUCUUUUAAGUUAUAUGCAGUGUCACAAGCAAUUGGUGUGGAUAUGAAGGAUAUAGCUAUAUUUAGAUGAAGUUUACACCCACAGUGCUACAUCAUCCCAUGCACUCAACAAUUUAAUUUAUAUUACAUUCUUAGGCUUAAAUAAAAACCACAGAACUUAGAAGUCAUGGGAAAUUACAAAAGAGAAGGUUUAACUUUUGCAUGCAUUUAUUAAUGGCAAAACUUGCUCUGUU